rnacentral:lncRNA from 1 species
UUAACUUCAAAAAAAAUAAAAAUUGCAUGAGAGCAGAAACUAGAAAGGUUCAGGAUUCAUCACAGUAAACUUACAAAAGGAAAAGAAAAAAAAUAAAAGUUAAAAGCAAGAACUCAGACCUUAGUACCGUGAGAUUCCGAGCUUGAGGGAAAAGAGAGAGAGAAAGAAAGAAGACCUUUUGGUGCUUCUGAGGUGUUCUACAGCGCAGAUCUUCG